rnacentral:pre_miRNA from 1 species
CUUUGCUUUGACUUUUUCUCUUAUUUGAAAUUUUUUUACGAUUAAUAUUUUUAUUUUACUAGAUGAUAAAACAUGAAUAGUACUUUAUGCGUGACUAAUUUUUUUAUAAAUUUUUCAAAUAAGAUGAAUGGGCAAAUGUUGGACACGGAAAAAC